UCCUACGGGGGGCAGCAGUGGGGAAUAUUGGGCAAUGGGCGCAAGCCUGACCCAGCAACGCCGCGUGAAGGAAGAAGGCUUUCGGGUUGUAAACUUCUUUUAAGAGGGAAGAGAAGAAGACGGUACCUGACUAAGAAGCCCCGGCUAACUACGUGCCAGCAGCCGCGGUAAUACGUAGGGGGCAAGCGUUAUCCGGAUUUACUGGGUGUAAAGGGAGCGUAGGCGGUUUAGCAAGUCAGAAGUGAAAGCCCGGGGCUCAACUCCGGGACUGCUUUUGAAACUGUUGAACUAGAUUGCAGGAGAGG
rnacentral:rRNA from 1 species